rnacentral:rRNA from 1 species
GUGCCAGCCGCCGCGGUAAUACGGAGGGUGCUAGCGUUGUUCGGAAUUAUUGGGCGUAAAGAGCGUGUAGGCGGCCUCGUAAGUCAGAUGUGAAAGCCCUUGGCUUAACCAAGGAAGGGCAUUUGAAACUGCUUGGCUUGAGUACGGGAGGGGGAAGCGGAAUUCCCGGUGUAGAGGUGAAAUUCGUAGAUAUCGGGAGGAACACCGGUGGCGAAGGCGGCUUCCUGGACCGAUACUGACGCUGAGACGCGAAAGCGUGGGGAGCAAACAGGAUUAGAAACCCGGGUAGUCC